rnacentral:piRNA from 1 species
UGUAGAAUGAAGGUGUUCUAUCCUGUGAGGU